AUGCAAAAUGCAGUUUGAAUUAUAUCGAAGUGUUGCAUCAGUUUCUCUCUGAUUUUCGGAUAUCAGAACCAACCCAAGUAUGGAAUCAAGAUUAACAAAUCUGAUAAAGCAAAUGUCAGUUUUGCUUAACAUUCAGUGUGAACGUGGAAGUGAGUCGCGUUAAAAUAUUCUUUUUGUCAGCAUGCGUUUGUGCUGCUCCCACCUGUAUCCACAUCCUGGUUCCAGUCUUCAUUUCCCACUUUUAUUCAGACUUCCAUCCUGCAUCUCUUUCCACAUCUUCUAUUUAUUGCUCUGAACCAUUUCCCUCUGCCUCUUCAGUUUCUACUCUCAGUCUUUCUACUCUCAGUCACCUUGACCUCUUCUGCCUCUCUUCCUUUCAGUGUGAACUUGCUGACUCUCCUACCAGUGACCACUUUCCUCAAUCCUCUGCCCUCUAUUCAUGCUUUUUAAGGCUCCUAUUUCUUUUAUCGCAUUGUCCUGCUUCCUUCUCCAACUCAUAAGAGACGCUGCAUUGCUAGAAAUGCCUGAUAUUAAUUGAAUUAUUGUGCUCCUGGGAAGGUUUCAAUCAAAAGCUAUUCUGCAGUUCACUCUUUUAAUAACAUUUUGUGCAUAUUUUCUUUGCUUUUCUUCUCGCUCGCUCUGGUGCUGCCUGCUGUUUUGCUUUUUUCCCUUCUCUUCCUUGUGCUCAAGAACUCUGCAUAACCAAUGACAAAAGACUGCAAUUUCAGCCCAAGGCUGUAUAGAUAGCAGCAAACUAAACUAUGGAUUAUGCCUUACUUGAAACUCAUGCUGAAGGCGAUUGCUACUAGCAGGAAAUUAUUAGUGCCAAAGGGGAGAAGCAAUGUAUAUUCUUGCCCAUUAGCAGGUUCAAGCAAAGUGAUUGGUGAAGUUAAUAAGAAGAGAAAGCACCAAACUUAUUAGAUUGCAGCCUCUUAAAGAAAGCAUAUAAUUGGCCAUUUCUUCAGAUCUUGCCUGAAAGCCAAGAAUGAAUGUGAAGUGCUAACACACCUUGAUUUCCCACUAAGAGAGGCAUAAAUGGAGCCAGAAUCAAAUUUGGGCAAGGACAAUAUCCCUUAAUUUGAUUUGUCCUUUUACCUUGAGAGAGGCAUCCAAGAAGAGUCGACACAUGAGAGCCAGAAUUCAGGUCAAUAAGAUACUCUUUUCAGAUCAGCAUCAAGUCAAACACACCUUGCAGACUGCUUGCAUUACAAUGGCACCUGGGACACAAGGGUAGCUGCUCAGAGUCAUUCUGUCGGGCUCCGGAGAGUUGGAUGAGCAAAGCAUAUGUUUGGAACUUGAAGGACAUUACUGUAAUGUGGUCAGAGAGGCUGGUGUUGAAGAGAGCACAAGAAUGGUGUUGCAUGGACUGAAGCAAAGGACAGAUAACCCAAAACUAAGCAUUGACUAACAGUUCAUUGGCAUGACGUUUGAGGGUUUGGUAAUAUAGUGUAAAUGACUGACAAAGGAUAGCUGCAUGCUUCCCAGCCAGAUAUAAUUACAAAUUUGUUCUGCCUGACUAACACCACUGUAUUGGCCUUUGUUUGAUAUAGGCCACUCAAACUGCUAUGUCUUUGGGUGUGCCCCCCCCAAACUGGUGAAACGGUUAGAAUGGCUUUGACCGCUUAUGUAAAAUACAACUCUUGUCCAGAAGAAUUUGCAAUUUCUGUGCAGUAUGGAAACUGGCUGGAGCAGAGGCGCUGAGUUGCACCCAACAUUUUUUUGGGGGGUGGGCUGUUACACAUUUGUGACAUCACAGAUAUGCCACUGCUGCCUUUCAACCUAGACAGGCCGACUCAAUUGUUACUCAGAAGUGAGUCCUUCUGACUUCAAUGGGAAAUACACCCAGGUAAAUGUAAUUAUAGCCUACUGGGAUGCAGGUGGUGCUGUGAUCUAAACCACUGAGCUUCUUGGGCUUGCCGAUCGGAGGGUCGACAGUUCGAAUCCACAUGACGGGGUGAGCUCCUGUUGCUGUCCCCCAGCUUCUGCCAACAUAGCAGUUCGAAAGCAUACCAGUGCAAGUAGAUAAAUAGGUACUGCUGUGGCAGGAAGAUAAACGGUGUUUCCAUGUGCUCUGGCACUUGUCACAGUCCUCCGUGCACUAGUAGCGGUUUAGUCAUGCUAGCCACAUGACCCAGAAAACUGUCUGUGAACAAACGCUGGUCCCCUUGGCCUGAAAAGCGAGAUGAGCAUAGCACCCCUUAGUUACCUUCGACUGGACUAACCAUCCAGGGCUCCUUUAUUGUACUUUUAUCUUUUAAUUAUAGCCUCAAUUUUGCUUUAACUCAGAAAGAUGGUGGCAACCAACUUAGCUAACACAUGUAAGAGAAGUAGCCGUGUUGGUCUGCCAUAGUCAAAACAAAAAAAUUCCUUCCAGUAGCACCUUAAAGACCAACUAAGUUAGUUCUUUUUUUUCCAUUUAAUUUUUAUUGCUUACUUCAAAAAGAAAAGUAGCCAAAAAACAUAUAUACACACACAUAAACACAUAAAAAUAAGACUACACAAUCAUACACCUAUAGAGAAAGAAAAAAUAAAAAUAGGAAAUAUAUAUACAGAAACUUAAUUUUCACAUUUACUCCUUGUUGGAUUAUCGCUUUCAGGACUUCCUUUAGCUUUCCCGACAAUCAUUCGAAGUGAUACUUUAAGUUACACAUUUCCUAGUAUAUAUUGUCAUUAUGCUUUUUUAUAUAUAUUUCUUAAUAUAUACUGUUCUUAUACCUUAUUUGUACUCCCAUUAAGUUC
ensembl:lncRNA